ACCAAAUCAUCAAAAAUGGUGUCUCGCUGAGUCCUGAAUUCUACAGGGAGAGAAAAAUUCUAUAAAUAUUACGAGAAAAGUCCGCUAAAGAUUACGUUUCAAAACAUAACCUGCCAGCGAAGUUGAAUCUCAUAUUAAACGACUUGACUGCCGUUGGGUACGAUCCGCCUAUCUUGAGUUGUGUCGAAAAACCCCGAGAAGAUGCGAUCAACCACGAAUGGGAUGGCGCACUCCGUCAGUGAAGAUUUACGGAACGUUUCGGAAAAAUUCCGCGCCCGUUCCGUAAAAAGUGUGAAAUUCUCUCUGAAUUCUUACGGUUCGAGACGUAUUAAGUAUUUAAAUAUUCCGUGACUUGUUCCGUAAUUUUUCUGGAACUUCUCUCUUCGUGUAUCAGAUGUUCUUGUGAUAAUGACAACACCUUUUGGGGAUUGGACAGAUGGAUCAUUGAGUAGCUGCUUCACUGCUGUGAGGUCCUACAUAUCUAAGCGUAUGCCAUGGACUAAGUUCCCGAGGUUCUCCGCGGGUGCGACGUCGGCACUUUGAAAAACAUGGCGGCAUCGUGGCAAAAAUCCUCCACUUUGCUGGCAGAUCUGGGUUCUUUCAAGACUGAAGAGACUCGUUUCGGUUUCGUGGACUAUUCUAAAAGUCCUGAACCCCGAGGUUGUUGUCAUAUACAGAUGACACGAGGCCCGUCACCACGUCGUCAUGAAAUGAUUGAUUAGUAAAUGAAUUGAUGUUAAUCAGGAUAACACGAGUUUUCCUGCCGCUGGAAGGACUUCUCAUAACUAAUAAACCGCCCCAGUCAUUAUUAUUUAUCGCGCCGUCUCUAUUCACAAAACAGCGCCACUUUCAACGAACAUUUUGGGAAUAAUUGCAAUUAACAAAUUAAUUGUGGAUUGAAUAUACCUCGAAUCA